GGCUGGCUGGGAAGCUGCUGACCCUGCUGGAUCUCAGGCUCAUCCUUCCAGUGAAGGAAUCCCUGGCUCAGCUGGAGCCCACGCGGGGUUUGUCCAGUGCACGUCACCAGCCUCAGAAACACGGGGUGAAUUCCUGCUUUUUCGAGAUGGUUACAGCAGAGUAUCACAGUAAGAAACCAAAAAAACACCAGCCCCUUCUCUCUGAGCAAGAGAAUUACAUCCAUGUGGGUAAGCAAUCAUAGAUUGCUCCUCACUUGGGAACUGGGAUUCCAGGAGCGACCCGGUGUGUGACUGGCCGAGGGUUACCCGACACGACGGGCAGGGUGGGAUGUUCCCAACACACUGUGCAUCCUCAAGCACAAAAUAUUCAUUACUGCAGAAUUUGCACCUGCCCUCCAUGAAGCCUUUCCCGUGGACAUCCCAUAAACUGCCCUCAGUUGAGAGAUGUGCCCUUCAGGUGGGAGCUAAGAUGUAGGAAAGGGUUGCUCUCUCCAGCUGAGCUAUGGCUCAGGCUGCUCCAGGGAGCAGCUGGGGCUUGUCAUUCCCUCUCUUUGCAUGUUAAUAUAAUCUUAAAACCUUUCAAUUUUAAGGCUGACUGUAUUCCUAGUCCAUUCACACCAGCACUCAGCACACUAGAGACCAUCAGCUGUGUGACAGGGAACAGGAAAAGCAGGGAAAGUCUCCCUUGGAGGUAAAACCUAAGUAUCUCCACUUAUGUAACAAAGUGCUGCAUCCCCAAUUUAAAAGGUGUCAGGCUCCCCGUUUGUUUCAGUCUUGUGGAUAAAGGCUGGGAAGCAAUUGUUUGACUGUCACAAGGAGCUUAUGUGCACAAGGCUUUUACCUUUCAGGAAAAACCUGUACGUGGAAGGAAAGCUGAGCUAGUCUUUAGUUGGAGAGAACAAAGAUGUGGGUUUAGUUUUUAAAAAUGUUAUUAUGAUACAGCAGAGAGAUAGAGAUCUCACAGUUCUGAUGCUUCUUUUCCACCUUUUACCCUUAUCCUUUGCACUGAAGCUCUGGGAAUAUGCAUAGUGGGGAAUUUCGCCUCAGAAGGGGCAGAAUUAGCAGUACAAUACAGAAUGACCAUUUUUGGUUUUGAUUUUGCAAAAAUAAUUUGGUAUUUCACAUUUAAUUUCAGAAAUGGAAAUUUUAAGCUGCAAAAUGCUGUUUUAGCCAGGAGAUCAAUGUUCUUAUGCAGCUGCCUGAGCAGUGUUGUGCCUUUUGUAAAAACGUAACUUUCCUGCAAAAGGUGAACUUCCACAAAAUUCCCAGUGAUGCCUUUGCCUCCCCCAUUUCACAGACUUUUACUGAACCAUCAUAAAUAUGUUCUAUUCAGGAAGUUCAUCAUCAGAAUAAGCAUAUAUGGUAAAACUGUCUGAAGAGGUUCUUCCCCUUGGGAAUCCCAGAAUAUUUUGUUUUCCUCUAGUCAGGCAGAGAAUUAAUUUGUGUAUCUUCCUUGCGGUGUGUUAACCACAUACUUAGCUGGUAGUUGUUGCCAAUGAAAUGCAUGAAUCUCCAAAGGGAAUUUUUUUUUCCAAAGCUAAGAGACCAAUAGCCUAACAGCCAGAUUGGAGAACAAGAGGAAGGAAAUUGCCAGGCUGUAAUAAAACUCACAGGACAAGAAACACACAGAAAUAUAAAAAUACAAGUUAAAAAUAUUUCAGUGCAUGUUGAUUAUGAAUCUUUCCCAGUGGGAGAGGUGAGGAAGUUGAGUUUUACCCUGAGGAAUCUGGGAUGGGCACACGGUGGUACAAGGCGUGAGAUGAAAAGGCAUCUUCGGGAGUGUCAGUGAACCAGAACAGUUGAGGGAACAUGCUGGGAGGGGGAGAAGUACUCCAUAACUCAGCUGGUCUUCCCAAAUUCACGGAUGUUUGAAGCAGAAAACAGUCUCCUGAGACUGAAACUCAUCUGUAUUAAUAGCAAAGCACCUUUGAUUCUUAUAUGUAAGCCUACAGACACUGCUGGUUUUCAAUAAAAAACCUCUGUGAUAAGUAACGGUGCUUCAUUAGGGCACAGUGAUACAAUCCAGGCUAAAGGAAAGCAAAUUUUCCCCUCUGCAUGGACAAUCACCAUCCUGCCUGGCCACAUCCUUCAAUCCCAGCCCCAAAAUUACUCACUUGUGAAAGCCUCUUAAUUGUGUUUAACUACGUCGGCUUUACCACCGGGAGACCUUGGCUGUAACACCAGUCAGCACUUGGGAUCAUGACACUCGUUUCCAUUGUUCUCCAGAUAUUUGGGAAAAUAAACCCGACAGCUAAAAUAACCCCUGGAAUAAUUGCAGCUAUUAGAGCCAUUACCCACCCAAAUUCGGGUAUUUUUGGAGAGAGGAAAGUCUUGUUUCACGGGUCAGUUUUGCCAAGCAAUUAAAUUGGAACAGCAGCUAUUCCUAUGGAAUAGCUCUGGCUCCCCUACUGCUCCUUGCCUGUGGGCUGGUGUACAAUAAAUAGGAGAAUUUGUGUGCAAAAGUAAAAGGACUUUUUAGGCUACUAACUUUAUUCCCAUACUGUGUGUCCACCUCAGUAUUAUGUUCAUUGCAGGAAUGCUAAGCAGCUAGAAUAGGUGGUAGAAUGAGUUCCCUUCUAAAAACCAAGAAUAGGGCUUAAAUUUUUACAGAUCCAUGAGAACUGUGACAGCACAGAGUUCAGCAAAAUCUGGGGUGUUUUCCUAGUCUUUAAUAUAUUUUUUUUUCCAGCCACCUCCACCUGGGGAAUAUUGACUAGUCUUUUAUAUUAUCUUUAAAUAUAAACUGGGCUGAAAAUUACUUGAUUUGCUCUUACAUCUCCGGUUAAAAAUAAAAAAAGAAGGAAAAAAUAAGA